GGAUUGAUCAUUUUUUAUAAGUGCAAAUUAUUAACGAGCCGUACGUACAUAAAGUCAGAUAUCACACAUAAUAUUGUUGGCUACUAGUAAAAAUGGUCAAGGCGAUGACAAUACGAUUUUCCAGCUAUGGUUUGUUUCUCUAUUGAUGGGAGGCAGGAGGAUAUACAAGCCUUUUAUUUGAGUUGAUCAAGAAGCAUCAGCAGCUAAAAAAUUACAUUUUUGAUGAAGCACAUAAUAAACUUCGAUGUAACUAGACCUAUAAUAAUCAAUUUCCAUGGUUUUGAUGACAAUAGAAGUCACAACUGAUCACUACAAUCACUAGUACAGAGUAUAUGGACAACUGAAGAAAUACACAUGAAUAGACCGGCAAACUCUGAAUGGUUCUGAAAAACAAAUGCCACAUAUGAAACAGUCUAGCAUAGACGUUGGCCUACAGCCGGCGGCAGACAAUUUUUUCCCCUGUCCGCCGCCCCCUCCCGCAAGCCGCCAAAUCCACAUCGCAAACCCUAACGCCGCCGCCGCCAAAACCCAGCAGCCCCCACUGCAACAAUGUCUGGCGGGGCGGUCGCGGUUCAAGGACGUGGACAUGCGGGUCCGCGUCCGCGGCGGCGGGAAGACGUCGCAGGUCUUCGCCAUCCGCCAGGCCGUCGCCAAGGGGCUCGUCGCAUACUACCAGAAUUACGUCGUCGAGGCCGCCAAGAAGGAGGUCAAGGACGUCUUCAGCCGAUACCAGCGCACCCUCCUCGUCGCCGACCCCAGGCGCUGCGUGUGGGGGAUGGAUAUCCCCGGGCCCACUAAAGAAAUAAAAGACCUCACGAAAGGCCCAAGGACCCAAUAAA